rnacentral:rRNA from 1 species
GGCGAACGCUGGCGGCGUGCUUAACACAUGCAAGUCGAACGGGUCUGCCCUGUUUUUUGCGGGGUGGGUCAGUGGCGAACGGGUGAGUAACACGUGAGUAACCUGCCCCUCACUUCUGGAUAACCGCUUGAAAGGGUGGCUAAUCCGGGGUGUUCUGGCUGUGCCGCAUGGUGUGGCUGGGAAAGAUUCACUUUUGUGGUGUUUUGGUGGGGGAUGGGCUCGCGGCCUAUCAGCUUGUUGGGGGGGUGAUGGCCUGCGAGGGCGUUGACGGGUAGCCGGCCGGGGAGGGUCGGCGGCAACACUGGGGCGGCGAGGCGGCCCAGCCUCCGGGGGGAGGCAGCAGUGGGGGGUAGUGCAAAAUGGGCGGAAGGCUGAUGCAGCGACGUCGCGGGAGGGAUGGAGGCCGUCGGGUUGUGAACCUCUUUCGCCGGUGAAGAAGGGCCUGCUCUUUGUGGUGGGGUUGACGGUAGCCGGGUUAUGAAGCGCCGGCUAACUACGUG